GGGUUGUCCGCACGUAAUAAGUAUCCGAAGAGACGACGAAAGCUAGCCUAAUGUCGUUGCAUUCAAUCUGUUUUAACAUUCAAACAAGUAUUACUAUAUAAAACAGUAAUUUAACAGAAUUAUUUAACGUGAUUACUACUAAUCAACUGACCUAUUGUUUAUUUAAGUUCUAUAAACAUGUUACACUUCAAAGGAAGGUGUCAAACGCGGUACUGCGUUUGAUGACAAAUAUCAUAGGCUUUCAGCAGUUAGAAUAAAACAAUUAUUUUUGUGACAUUGUAGUUGCAGUUUUAAUAAACAAUUUCUUUGAUAAUCGAAGUUCAAAAACAUCCCUACAUCACUUUCCCACGAAGAAGGUGGAAGUGCCCUACCCGCUAUUUGGGUUAUUUCAUCAUGGCACGACCAAGAAAGCAGUCUAAGUUAGAUUCUUUCUUAAGGAAAGAUAAAGAUUAUGGUUCAAGCGAGAGGUUAGUUUGUUAAUUUGACUCAUUAUUUAAUAUCUCUGUGACAAUAUAUGAUUCUCACUUGCAACAUAUAAAUUUUGCCGAAGCAUGCAUAAACGGUCAAGGACCAAACCCGUAGGUACUACAGUAUUACAUGGGAUCCCAAGAAAAUAAGCACAAUUUUUUAAGGAUCUCAUUUUGAUUUUAGUGGUUAGCGGCCAAUUUUUUUUUACAGUAUGUAAAAAGUCUAGCACGACCUCCGAAAAUAGAACAAAAAUAAAAACACGUAUUAUGAAUUGACAAAUAAAUUGUACCAGUUAUAAUUUUCGUUUUCAAAAUCUUAUAUUGGUCAGAUGAGCUAUCGUCAUUUGCUUCGUCUCACUUUGCGUCUGUCGGUCCGACUGUCUAUCUGUCAAC
rnacentral:lncRNA from 1 species